rnacentral:piRNA from 1 species
UCUCAGCCUGUUUAUUCUUUAUGUUGAGGA